UGGGGAAUAUUGGACAAUGGGCGCAAGCCUGAUCCAGCCAUGCCGCGGGAGUGAUGAAGGCCCUAGGGUUGUAAAGCUCUUUCACCGGUGAAGAUAAUGACGGUAACCGGAGAAGAAGCCCCGGCUAACUUCGUGCCAGCAGCCGCGGUAAUACGAAGGGGGCUAGCGUUGUUCGGAAUUACUGGGCGUAAAGCGCACGUAGGCGGAUCGAUCAGUUAGGGGUGAAAUCCCGGGGCUCAACCCCGGAACUGCCUCUAAUACUGUCUAUCUGGAGUUCGAGAGAGGUGAGUGGAAUUCCGAGUGUAGAGGUGAAAUUCGUAGAUAUUCGGAGGAACACCAGUGGCGAAGGCGGCUCACUUGCUCGAUACUGACGCUGAGGUGCGAAAGCGUGGGGAGCAAACA
rnacentral:rRNA from 1 species